UGAGAAGAUUGGUGAAGAAAACACACAAGGGUGAGUUCCAAGUAGAAGUUGAACCUGAGGAUAGUGUCUCUGUGGAGGUUGCUGUUGGGGCAAGUUCACUCACUCGUAUGCAACCCAAACCAAAGCAGGACAUCUCUUUACCCUCCAAACCUGAUCAAAUGCAAGCUAAAGGAAAUGCUGUUAGUGAAAAGAGUUGUUCAGAGGACCAG
rnacentral:misc_RNA from 1 species